AAUGAACGUUGGCGGCGUGGAUUAGGCAUGCAAGUCGAGCGAGAAGGUUCCUUCGGGAACUGGACAGCGGCGAAAGGGAGAGUAACGCGUAGAUAUCUACCCUAAGGACCGGGAUAGCGGCGGGAAACUGCCGGUAAUACCGGAUAACAUCUCAGGAUCAAAGGUGUGAUUCCGCCUUAGGAUGAGUCUGCGUCCUAUUACGCUUGUUGGUGUGGUAACGGCGCACCAAGGCUAAGAUGGGUACCGGGUGUGAGAGCAUGGCCCGGCUCACUGGGACUGAGACACUGCCCAGACACCUACGGGUGGCUGCAGUCGAGAAUCUUCGGCAAUGGGCGAAAGCCUGACCGAGCGACGCCGCGUGCGGGAUGAAGGCCCUCGGGUUGCAAACCGCUGUCAGUUGGGAGCAAAUCUCUUGGGGUUAUCCCCUUGAGUUGAGCUAUCUUCAGAGGAAGUACGGGCUAAGUUCGUG
rnacentral:rRNA from 1 species